rnacentral:rRNA from 1 species
GAGUUUGAUCAUGGCUCAGAUUGAACGCUGGCGGCAUGCUUCACACAUGCAAGUCGAGCGGCAGCGCGGGGCAACCUGGCGGCGAGCGGCGGACGGGUGAGUAAUGCAUCGGAACGUAUCCCCGGUAGUGGGGGACAACCCAGCGAAAGCUGGGCUAAUACCGCAUAUGCUCUACGGAGGAAAGUGGGGGACCCGCAAGGGCCUCACGCUAUGGGAGCGGCCGAUGUCCGAUUAGCUAGUUGUGGGGUAAAGGCCUACCAAGGCGACGAUCGGUAGCUGGUCUGAGAGGAUGAUCAGCCACACUGGGACUGAGACACGGCCCAGACUCCUACGGGAGGCAGCAGUGGGGAAUUUUGGACAAUGGGGGCAACCCUGAUCCAGCCAUGCCGCGUGCGGGAAGAAGGCCUUCGGGUUGUAAACCGCUUUUGUUCGGGAAGAAAAGGCACGUCCUAAUACGGCGUGUUCUUGACGGUACCGGAAGAAUAAGCACCGGCUAACUACGUG